rnacentral:rRNA from 1 species
GAUGAACGCUGGCGGCGUGCUUAACACAUGCAAGUCGAACGGACUCAUAUUGAAACCUAGUGAAGUAUGAGUUAGUGGCGGACGGGUGAGUAACGCGUGGAAAACCUGCCGUAUACUGGGGGAUAACACUUAGAAAUAGGUGCUAAUACCGCAUAAGCGCACAGUGUCGCAUGACGCAGUGUGAAAAACUUCGGUGGUAUACGAUGGACCCGCGUCUGAUUAGCCAGUUGGCAGGGUAACGGCCUACCAAAGCGACGAUCAGUAGCCGGCCUGAGAGGGUGAACGGCCACAUUGGGACUGAGACACGGCCCAA